UACAGAGGUCCCAAGCGUUGUUCGGAUUCACUGGGCGUAAAGGGUGCGUAGGUGGUGAGGUAAGUCGGAUGUGAAAGCUCGGAGCUCAACUCCGAAAUGGCAUUGGAAACUACCUCGCUAGAGGAUCGGAGGGGAGACGUGGAAUUCUCGGUGUAGCAGUGAAAUGCGUAGAUAUCGUGAGGAAGACCAGUUGCGAAGGCGGAUCGUCUGGGCAGUUCCGUGACACUGAGGCACGAAGGCCAGGGGAGCAAACGGGGAUUAGAAUA
rnacentral:rRNA from 1 species